rnacentral:rRNA from 1 species
CCUACGGGUGGCUGCAGUGAGGAAUAUUGGUCAAUGGACGAGAGUCUGAACCAGCCAAGUAGCGUGAAGGAUGACUGCCCUAUGGGUUGUAAACUUCUUUUAUAUGGGAAUAAAACGUUCCACGUGUGGGAUUUUGUAUGUACCAUAUGAAUAAGGAUCGGCUAACUCCGUGCCAGCAGCCGCGGUAAUACGGAGGCUCCGAGUGUUAUCCGGAUUUAUUGGGUUUAAAGGGAGCGUAGGUGGAUUGUUAAGUCAGUUGUGAAAGUUUGCGGCUCAACCGUAAAAUUGCAGUUGAAACUGGCAGUCUUGAGUACAGUAGAGGUGGGCGGAAUUCGUGGUGUAGCGGUGAAAUGCUGAGAGAUCACGAAGAACUCCGAUUGCGAAGGCAGUUCACUGGACUGCAACUGACACUGAGGCUCGAAAGUGUGGGUAUCAAACAGGAUUAGAUACCCUUGUAGUC